UUGAACGCUGGCGGCAGGCCUAACACAUGCAAGUCGAACGGUAACAGGAAGAAGCUUGCUUCUUUGCUGACGCGUGGCGGACGGGUGAGUAAUGUCUGGGAAACUGCCUGAUGGAGGGGGAUAACUACUGGAAACGGUAGCUAAUACCGCAUAACGUCGCAAGACCAAAGAGGGGGACCUUCGGGCCUCUUGCCAUCGGAUGUGCCCAGAUGGGAUUAGCUAGUAGGUGGGGUAACGGCUCACCUAGGCGACGAUCCCUAGCUGGUCUGAGAGGAUGACCAGCCACACUGGAACUGAGACACGGUCCAGACUCCUACGGGAGGCAGCAGUGGGGAAUAUUGCACAAAGGGCGCAAGCCUGAUGCAGCCAUGCCGCGUGUAUGAAGAAGGCCUUCGGGUUGUAAAGUACUUUCAGCGGGGAGGAAGGGAGUAAAGUUAAUACCUUUGCUCAUUGACGUUACCCGCAGAAGAAGCACCGGCUAACUCCGUG
rnacentral:rRNA from 1 species